rnacentral:rRNA from 1 species
AUUGAACGCUGGCGGCAUGCCUUACACAUGCAAGUCGAACGGCAGCACGGGUGCUUGCACCUGGUGGCGAGUGGCGAACGGGUGAGUAAUACAUCGGAACAUGUCCUGUAGUGGGGGAUAGCCCGGCGAAAGCCGGAUUAGUACCGCAUACGAUCUACGGAUGAAAGCGGGGGACCUUCGGGCCUCGCGCUAUAGGGUUGGCCGAUGGCUGAUUAGCUAGUUGGUGGGGUAAAGGCCUACCAAGGCGACGAUCAGUAGCUGGUCUGAGAGGACGACCAGCCACACUGGGACUGAGACACGGCCCAGACUCCUACGGGAGGCAGCAGUGGGGAAUUUUGGACAAUGGGCGAAAGCCUGAUCCAGCAAUGCCGCGUGUGUGAAGAAGGCCUUCGGGUUGUAAAGCACUUUUGUCCGGAAAGAAAUCCUUGGCCCUAAUACGGUCGGGGGAUGACGGUACCGGAAGAAUAAGCACCGGCUAACUACGUG